rnacentral:rRNA from 1 species
AUGGGUGAUAGCGUGCCUUUUGCAGAAUGAACCGGCGAGUUGCGCUGGCUGGCGAGGUUAAGUCUGAAAAGACGGAGCCGCAGCGAAAGCGAGUCUGAAAUGGGCGUUGAGUCAGACGGCGCAGACCCGAAACCAGGUGAUCUACCCAUGUCCAGGUUGAAGGUGCGGUAAAACGCACUGGAGGACCGAACCCACGUACGUUGAAAAGUGCGGGGAUGAGAUGUGGGUAGCGGAGAAAUUCCAAACGAACUUGGAGAUAGCUGGUUCUCUCCGAAAUAGCUUUAGGGCUAGCGUCAAGGAAGCAAUGAUGGAGGUAGAGCACUGUUUGGACGAGGGGCCCGUCUUGGGUUACCGAAUCCAGAUAAACUCCGAAUGCCAUUGAUUGACCCUUGGCAGUCAGACGGUGAGUGAUAAGAUCCAUCGUCGAAAGGGAAACAGCCCAGACCACCAGCUAAGGCCCCUAAAUGUAUGUUAAGUGGAAAAGGAGGUGGGGUUGCUUAGACAACUAGGAUGUUGGCUUAGAAGCAGCCAUCAUUGAAAGAGUGCGUAAUAGCUCACUAGUCGAGUGACCCUGCGCCGAAAAUGUACCGGGGCUAAACAUACUGCCGAAGCUGUGGAAAACACCUUAGGUGUUUUGGUAGGAGAGCGUUCUAAGGGCGGUGAAGGUCGACUGAAAAGACGGCUGGAGCGCUUAGAAGUGAGAAUGCCGGUAUGAGUAGCGAAAGACAGGUGAGAAUCCUGUCCACCGUAAGACGAAGGUUUCCUGGGGAAGGCUCGUCCGCCCAGGGUUAGUCGGGACCUAAGCUGAGGCCGAAAGGCGUAAGCGAUGGCCAACAGGUUGAUAUUCCUGUACCUGUUAUCUUCAUUUGAGUGAUGGAGGGACGCAGGAGGCAAAAGAAAGCAGACGAAUGGAAAGGUCUGUCCAAGCAGUGCAUCGGAGAAAGAGUGAAAGGCUUUUUCUUGUCAACGAUAAGCUGUGACGGGGAGGGAAAUUGAAGUACCGAAGUUCUGGCGUCACACUGCCAAGAAAAACUUCUAGCAAGAAGGUAAUGGCCCGUACCGCAAACCGACACAGGUCGUCGAGGAGAGUAUCCUCAGGUGAGCGAGCGAACUCUCGUUAAGGAACUCGGCAAAAUGACCCCGUAACUUCGGGAGAAGGGGUGCUGCUCUAACGAGCAGCCGCAGUGAAUAGGCCCAAGCGACUGUUUAUCAAAAACACAGGUCUCUGCAAAAUCGUAAGAUGACGUAUAGGGGCUGACGCCUGCCCGGUGCUGGAAGGUUAAGAGGAGUGCUUAGCGUAAGCGAAGGUACGAAUUGAAGCCCCAGUAAACGGCGGCCGUAACUAUAACGGUCCUAAGGUAGCGAAAUUCCUUGUCGGGUAAGUUCCGACCCGCACGAAAGGCGCAACGAUUUGGGCACUGUCUCAACGAGAGACUCGGUGAAAUUUUAGUACCUGUGAAAAUGCAGGUUACCCGCGACAGGACGGAAAGACCCCAUGGAGCUUUACUGUAAUUUGAUAUUGGGUGUCUGUGACGCAUGUACAGCAUAGGUAGGAGCCGUAGAAUUCGGGACGCGAGUCUCGAAGGAGGCAUCCGUGGGAUACUACCCUUGCGUUAUGGCCACUCUAACCCGCGCCACUGAUCGUGGCGGGAGACAGUGUCAGAUGGGCAGUUUGACUGGGGCGGUCGCCUCCCAAAAAGUAACGGAGGCGCCCCAAGGUUCCCUCAGAAUGGUUGGAAAUCAUUCAAAGAGUGUAAAGGCAGAAGGGAGCUUGACUGUGAGAGCAACAACUCGAGCAGGGACGAAAGUCGGGCUUAGUGAUCCGGUGGUUCCGCAUGGAAGGGCCAUCGCUCAACGGAUAAAAGCUACCCUGGGGAUAACAGGCUUAUCUCCCCCAAGAGUCCACAUCGACGGGGAGGUUUGGCACCUCGAUGUCGGCUCGUCGCAUCCUGGGGCUGUAGUCGGUCCCAAGGGUUGGGCUGUUCGCCCAUUAAAGCGGCACGCGAGCUGGGUUCAGAACGUCGUGAGACAGUUCGGUCCCUAUCCGUCGCGGGCGUAGGAAAUUUGCGAGGCGCUGUCCUUAGUACGAGAGGACCGGGAUGGACCUACCGCUGGUGGACCAGUUGUCGUGCCAACGGCAUCGCUGGGUAGCUAAGUAGGGCAGGAAUAAACGCUGAAAGCAUCUAAGCGUGAAGUCCCCCUCAAGAUGAGAUUUCCCUUUUCUAAAAGAAAGUAAGAUCCCUGAGAGAAGAUCAGGUAGAUAGGUUCGAAGUGGAAGACCCGUGAGGGUUGGAGCGGACGAAUACUAAUCGAUCGAGGACUUAACCACAA